AUUGAACGCUGGCGGCAGGCCUAACACAUGCAAGUCGAACGGUAACAGGAAGAAGCUUGCUUCUUUGCUGACGAGUGGCGGACGGGUGAGUAAUGUCUGGGAAACUGCCUGAUGGAGGGGGAUAACUACUGGAAACGGUAGCUAAUACCGCAUAACGUCGCAAGACCAAAGAGGGGGACCUUCGGGCCUCUUGCCAUCGGAUGUGCCCAGAUGGGAUUAGCUAGUAGGUGGGGUAACGGCGCACCUAGGCGACGAUCCCUAGCUGGUCUGAGAGGAUGACCAGCCACACUGGAACUGAGACACGGUCCAGACUCCUACGGGAGGCAGCAGUGGGGAAUAUUGCACAAUGGGCGCAAGCCUGAUGCAGCCAUGCCGCGUGUAUGAAGAAGGCCUUCGGGUUGUAAAGUACUUUCAGCGGGGAGGAAGGGAGUCAAGUUAAUACCUUUGCUCAUUGACGUUACCCGCAGAAGAAGCACCGGCUAACUCCGUG
rnacentral:rRNA from 1 species